CGUAGACAGGCAUGACAAAAACAUAAAUAAAACAUAAGAUCUACCCCCAACCAAUUACCUUUUGAUUAAAGGUGCUUAAUAAAUACAUUUGUUUUGAUUGCAUUUUACAGACCCAUACAAUGAUAGGGCGCUUACGUCCUUCACCGUUGCUUCUUUACCCAUAAAAAGCUACAGUCAGUGUUAAAUGACGCUGAAUCACCUUUGAGCAUUUCCUAUUAUAGGCUACCGUGCAAAAAAUGCUGUUUAGAAUGAAUGUUAGUAUCAAGAAAAGAAAGACCCACCGGUGGGGGGAGACCUUAUGUUUUAUUUAUGUUUUUGUUAUAAUGCAAACGUGCAUGUUGCAGAGAAUGUGCAACAGCGCCCCCUGGGGUCACACUUUUCGGUGGGUCGCAGAAUUCGGUGUUACACCGGCUUGGCAGUGUAAAAAGGCCUAAGGAGCGAAAGCGGAUAUGUCCGUCCUACAUCGAAACUUUUUACAAUGCAACAAAAUAUUUGAAGAUCAUCAAGCUAUUAUGCACAGAUGUUAUAACAGUAUAUUAUUCAGUCAUUUGUAUCAGGUUAAACAAGGCCCAUCCACAACUCCUGGCGCCGUGCCUGGUGUGUGUGUGUGUGUGUGUGUGUGUGUGUGUGUGUGUGUGUGUGUGUGUGUGUGUGUGUGUGUGUGUGUGUGUGUGUGUGUGUGUGUGUGUGUGUGUGUGUGUGUGUGUGUGUUACGUUUUAAUCUUUGCCGUAGGCUUGUCUUAUAUGGCCAAUCUGUUUCAAUUUGAUGUGAUGACACGCCGAGUUCUUGCAGUUUUACCCAUGUUUACAAUUUUUAACCGGUGUAUUGUCAGCAAUGACCGAAACCGGUGAAGCCUUCAAUAAAUGUGAUUCAGCGAUGCAUGGGUUAAUGCAGUUUUGCGCAAGUUUAAAAUGUUUCCUAGUAAUUUGUCAGCUGCGAUCACUACCUUUAAUUAAUUCCACCUUUAUGUCAUAAAUAUAACAUGCUAUUGAUUAAUGUUUUUAUGGUGCAUCUUGGCUAUUUUAUGUUCAAUCAAAUUGGCUUUGCCUGCCGCAUUUGAACAUUUCUGGCUACGCCACUGCCAAGAGGAAAACCUAUACCUUCAAGAUAACAGCCUGCUGUGACACAGCUGACUCGCGGACUCAUGGGAUGUAACCGGGCUCUGACUAGACGGCGUAUCGACCUCCAUGACAAACGUCGAUUAGACUUGUGAUCGACGACGAAAUGUUUGCUGGGACUCGACUCCUCCCAGACACACUAGUCGCUGAGUCGCUGAGUCUCUGUUUGUUCACUGAUGGGAGUGGUGAAGAGGGUAGAGGCUUAGUGAGCGAGUGUAGGCCUAUGAUAACACGAUUCAAUAUCAGUGAAAUGGUAAAUGCAUGCUGUCUUUGUAUUUUCGGUGUCAUGCCAGAUUAAUAUAAUAUUGAAUGUCUCG